rnacentral:rRNA from 1 species
GACGAACGCUGGCGGCGUGCCUAAUACAUGCAAGUCGAACGCAUUUUCUUUCACCGUAGCUUGCUACACCGAAAGAAAAUGAGUGGCGAACGGGUGAGUAACACGUGGGUAACCUGCCCAUCAGCGGGGGAUAACACUUGGAAACAGGUGCUAAUACCGCAUAAUUCCAUUUACUGCAUGGUAGAUGGAUGAAAGGCGCUUUUGCGUCACUGAUGGAUGGACCCGCGGUGCAUUAGCUAGUUGGUGGGGUAACGGCCUACCAAGGCUGCGAUGCAUAGCCGACCUGAGAGGGUGAUCGGCCACACUGGGACUGAGACACGGCCCAGACUCCUACGGGAGGCAGCAGUAGGGAAUCUUCGGCAAUGGACGCAAGUCUGACCGAGCAACGCCGCGUGAGUGAAGAAGGUUUUCGGAUCGUAAAACUCUGUUGUUAGAAAAGAACAAGGGUGAGAGUGGAAAGUUCAUCCCUUGACGGUAUCUAACCAGAAAGCCACGGCUAACUACGUG